UGUUGCUAACUGCUUUUUUAUCAAAACUAAACCAAACAAGAGGUGCAAAAUGUCGUAACGCAAUUAUAGUGCCAUGCAGAUUGCAGCAUUUUAGGCGGUUUGUCACGCAUACUGGAUACAGCAUUUAAAUCCGCCCCAAGGUAUGCAAUUUGCAUCAACAUUUCGUCUUAAUUUAGCACUGCAAAGUUUCCCCAAUUGAAAAAAUUUUUUUUUUUGUGUUCUGAAUACAAUAAAUUUUAACAUUUUUCUAUUUAUAUUCGCAAUAAAUUAUAAUUAAUAUCCUCUUUUUUUCAGAUAAUUCACAACAGCCCCACAACAGUUUCAACGGAACCGAACAGCAAUUUUACCUAAAAAAAACACUCACCCAAAGGCCGGAGGUCACUGAUUGGCUUGUAAUGUAUGUCUUUGGUUUGCCCCUACCCACCCCGAUGAUGGUUCGUGUAUUUAAAAUUCGUCUAGGUCUUUGCGAAAUCUAGCCACACUGCGAUACCUGCGUACUCUAAUAUCGUGUUAAGCACCAGUAGCAAUUAAUGUACCGUGUCUAAAUUAAAUCUUCCCCGGUCGAAGCAGGAUUUACUUUAAGUUGUACGGCCCUUUGCCCCUAAUAUUAAGCUCACUGUAUUCGUUCGUCGUCUUCGGAUCUGCUUUGCAGAAAGUUUAUAAAAUCGUUGAAAGUAAUUUAUUAAACUCCCAAGUGCAAUUCCUGUUCAGGCAGGGUUCGGUUCCGUUCAAGUGUUGUGUUUGUGUACGCGUAAAAAUUGUUGUGCCGAGCUGUGGCCAACAGCACCCCACGGCAGAGCAACACAGAAUAAAAUCGCACAUUGUUCGCUUGUUA